rnacentral:misc_RNA from 1 species
GUAGGUGAACCUGCGGAAGGAUCGUUACAAAUCUUUGCGGGUGCUGCGUGCAUGGUAUAACUAUUGUGUGCGUAGCAUUUUGCACAUUAGCACAAGGUCGCAAGAUCUUGAUGUUUACGCUUGUUUGUUUGACAGAGUUAGUUGAGACAAAAUAAAGACAACUUUUAACAAUGGAUCUCUUGGCUCUU